AGCGAACGCUGGCGGCAGGCUUAACACAUGCAAGUCGAGCGGACCCUUCGGGGUCAGCGGCGGACGGGUGAGUAACGCGUGGGAACGUGCCUUCCGGUUCGGAAUAACCCUGGGAAACUAGGGCUAAUACCGGAUACGCCCUUAUGGGGAAAGGUUUACUGCCGGAAGAUCGGCCCGCGUCUGAUUAGCUAGGUGGUGGGGUAACGGCCUACCAAGGCGACGAUCAGUAGAUGGUCUGAGAGGAAGAUCAGCCACACUGGGACUGAGAAACGGCGCAGACUACUGCGGGAUGGAGGAGUGGGGGAUAUUGGAAUAUGGGGGGAAGCAUGAUCCCGCCAUGCCGGGUGAGUGAUGAAAGCCUUAGGGUUGUAAAGCACUUUUAUCCGGGACGAUAAUGACGGUACCGGAAGAAUAAGCCCCGGCUAACUUCGUG
rnacentral:rRNA from 1 species